AAGCACAAGAUCAUACCACUCGACCUUUCCCCAUAUUUCUCCUCCUUCGCGCCUUUCGAGGGCAAUCUCUGCACACCAAAUUUCUGUUGUCUCGCUCAUUUUCUCUAUUUUAUGCAAAAACACAACUAAUUUUCUACCAUAACUUGUUGUGAAUGAUCGUGGACCGUCCAAACGUAGUUUUAAUUCCACACCGUUCACCACUUCCCAAAUCCUCUCUUUCGGGUCAUACGCUCUUAUACAAUUCAUGUGAUUAUCAUAGUAGUACAAUACAUCGUC